ensembl:lncRNA
GUUACAAAACUAUUUCUUACAACUUUCUACUAACUUUAUUUCCCCCCUAAAUAUGUUAUUUAAACAUGUAUUUUUAAUAUUCUAUGAAUGUUAAAAUGUCCAAAAAUUUUUCUUGAUGUGAUUAACGUUAUUUAAAAACUACAAAAACAUUCUGCUAACUGUAUUUUCACCUGAACUAUAAAGUUAUUUGAAAGUUUAUUAUUUUUUAUAUUCUAAGAAUGUUAAAAUGUCAAGAUUGGAAUGUUAUUUAAAAGUUACAAUAAAAUGGAAAUAACAUUCGAAGAACAUUCCGAGAAGGUUGCUUUCUCGUAACAUUAUGAGAAAGUUUACGAAAUGAAGUUAUAGAAAAUGUCUGCUAAACAUUACUUUAAGAACGUUUUGUCCUUUUUUUUUUUUCUUUUAAAAAACAUUGUGAUAAUGUUCCCUGUUAGCUUUAAAAAAUGUAAGAGAAACGUCCCUCUGAAAUGUUUAAGAAAAAACAUUCCAUAAACAAUGUAUAAAUAAUGUCUUUUGUCCUAACAUUUCAGAAUGUUAUUUAAGACCAGAUAACUAGAAGAAUGUUAGUUCAUAACUUUGAGAAAACUAGAAAGUUAGCUAAAGUUCUGAGAACGUUCCCUGUUAGCUGGGUUGUGUUUCUGUGUACCACAUGACUAGUUAAAGACUUAAUUGUUUUCGUUAUGGAUUAAUACAUGUAUUAGUGUUUUAUUUGUACUUUUAAACACUUUGUAGCCAAUCUGUACAUUUAAGCACAUCGGUCUGACUGUAAAGUUGCUGUUAGCACCAUUUAUUCAGUCUAAACUGUUCACGUAUUUAUAUUUCAGUAUAAAUGGAAGGAUUGUGUUCAUAUGGAGAAACAAACCAACAAACGGAUAUUUUCCUUGUCCGUCUUCCGGCAUACUUAACCAAUAAGCAAGAUAAGCAGCCGCUUAGGGCCCCGGGGAAUCAUCUUAAUAUUAGAUUACAUUUUCGAUUUGUUUCUGUAGCCUAUGCUCUCAGAACACUUGGAAUAUGGAAUGAGUUGCAUGGGAUAAUUUUAUGACAUUUGAAACCUUUUUUGUAAAAUGAUCAAAGGUAUAGCCUGUUGUAAAGGGGUAAAUAAAUUAUAAACUAUAAGACA